rnacentral:lncRNA from 1 species
AUACCUGAGAUAAACAAUUUAAAAGGGAAGAAGUUUAUUUUGGGCUCACAGUUUCAGAUGCUUCAGUCCAUAGUCAAUGGACUCUGUUGUGUUCAGGGCUGUGGCCAGACAGGAACAUCAUGGCGGAAGGGUGUGGCUGUCCCAAAACGGUUCGAAGGAGAGAUCUAUAGGUGAAGACACCAGGGACAAGACACUGUCUCCAAGAUCAGCACCCGUGACCCACUCACUUCCUUGAGCGGGCCUCACACACAACAUUCCAUUACCUCUUGAGUAAUGCCAUCAGAUUAUGAUCUCACUGAAUCAUGAAGCUGGAUCCCUCAUGAUCCAUUCACUCCCCAAAGCCCCUGAGCAACCAAGCCUUCAGCACAGUUCACAUCAUUGGCCAUUGCCUCUUAGGUUACCCUCUGUGACUAACUUCUCCUUCCGGGAUGCUGGGGUCUCCACGCCGUGAUGCUGUGUGCAGUGCUAUUGUCCAGUGGAUCCCACUCCUGGGGUUCAGUGUGGUACCUGGGUGUGCUGGGGACUUUGAACCAGAAGGAACCGGAAGGCCACAGGAGAGAGGCGUGGAAGCUGGGGUUUCUCUCCCCAAGGUCUCCGGGACCGUCUCGUUCCCGGCAGCUCCCCUUGCUGUCCUCCUGCUGCUGGACACUCAUGUGUGACCUCAUACGGCUGAGCGGGCUGAGCGUCUCUGUGAAGAUGGAAGGGAAGAGACAGGAGGAGGGAAGGCAGACAAGAGGGGGCCACACAGCUUCUCCGGGUCGAGGGCCACAUUUGGCAAGUGGAUCUUUCUUCAGCUGCUGCCACCACUGUCCUGGCCUUGUCUGGGUGAUCCAGAUGUAGGCAUGGCCUCGUUCUGGGCUCUGUGAGAGCCUCUUACACCCACCUCUUCUGUUAGUGCCAGGCUCACCCUGUGCCUGGGGGCACUAAGGACACAACCUGGAGACAAAGCCCCAGGGUCCUCACCCUACCUGCUGCUGUGAGGUGCUUGGGGGCUGCAGGGCUGUUCCCCACACAGAGGUUUUUAUAGGUGCAUUUCCUGGAGAGAUGGAUGCUGUGUGGGCCUGGGUGCUUCCCUAGGACUGGCUGCACCAAAUGCUUUUUGUUGUCAUUCAACAACAUUUGAAUGUAAUGAGGGCCCAGGACUUUCUCUCUGAAGAGAUUCCUGAGAAGCUUCUGGUGCGUGCCGCAGCUGUGAAUCGAUACGCCCUCUCUCUCCGUUUGUAGGAACGUGUGAGUGCGAUCGAUUCGCGCCAUCCAUUUGUCUGAGUUUGAGUAGGUGUCUCCCUAUUUGCUCGGCUUUCUAGGCGGCGUUAGGCAACCCUCGAGGUAUCAUUCAUUUAAAAUUCUCCUUUCCUUCUGUCUCUAUCACACUUAUCACCCGUUCUCUCGAACUGCACU